rnacentral:sRNA from 1 species
UUUAUUUUAGCCUGUUUUGGCCGAAAAUGGGUAUAAGUGUUAUCUAAACACUCCUAAUCCAUCUCUAACUCUUAUAAUUAGUCGAAUGCAUUGGAUUGUGAUACAUUUUGACCAUAUAAACGCUAACAAAGCUAUUUAGUGCUUCUAAGCAAUAUUUUGUUGGUUAUAGCUUCUUUAGGGAGAAAAUGGGUAUAAUUAUUGUCUAAACACUCCUAAUCCAUCUCUAACUCUAUAAUUAGUCCAAUGCAUUGGAUUGUGAAACAUUUUGACUAUAGAAACACUAACAAAUCUAUUGACUGCUUUUAAGCAAUUGUUUUUGGUUUUAGCCUCUUUUGGGAGAAAAUGGGUAUAAGUGUUGUCUAAACACUCGUAAUCCAUCUCUAACUCUUAUAAUUAGUCAAAUGCAUUGGAUUGUGAUACAUUUUGACCAUAUAAACACUAACAAAGCUAUUUAGUGCUUCUAAGCAAUAUUUUGUUGGUUAUAGCUUCUUUUGGGAGAAAAUGGGUAUAAGUGUUCUCUAAACACUCCUAAUCCAUCUCUUACUCUUAUAAUUAGGCAAAUGCAUUGGAUUGUGACAGAUUUUGACCAUAGAAACACUAACAAAUCUAUUGACCGCUUCUAAGCAAGUUUUCUUGGUUUU